GGAAACUGUCAGACUUGAGUGCAGAAGAGGACAGUGGAACUCCAUGUGUAGCGGUGGAAUGCGUAGAUAUAUGGAAGAACACCAGUGGCGAAGGCGGCUGUCUGGUCUGCAACUGACGCUGAGGCUCGAAAGCAUGGGUAGCGAACAGGAUUAGAUACCCUGGUAGUCCAUGCCGUAAACGAUGAGUGCUAGGUGUUGGAGAGUUUCCGCCCUUCAGUGCCGCAGCUAACGCAUUAAGCACUCCGCCUGGGGAGUACGACCGCAAGGUUGAAACUCAAAGGAAUUGACGGGGGCCCGCACAAGCGGUGGAGCAUGUGGUUUAAUUCGAAGCUACGCGAAGAACCUUACCAGGUCUUGACAUCUUGCGCCAACCCUAGAGAUAGGGCGUUUCCUUCGGGAACGCAAUGACAGGUGGUGCAUGGUCGUCGUCAGCUCGUGUCGUGAGAUGUUGGGUUAAGUCCCGCAACGAGCGCAACCCUUGUUACUAGUUGCCAGCAUUCAGUUGGGCACUCUAGUGAGACUGCCGGUGACAAACCGGAGGAAGGUGGGGACGACGUCAGAUCAUCAUGCCCCUUAUGACCUGGGCUACACACGUGCUACAAUGGACGGUACAACGAGUCGCGAACUCGCGAGGGCAAGCUAAUCUCUUAAAACCGUUCUCAGUUCGGACUGCAGGCUGCAACUCGCCUGCACGAAGUCGGAAUCGCUAGUAAUCGCGGAUCAGCAUGCCGCGGUGAAUACGUUCCCGGGCCUUGUACACACCGCCCGUCACACCAUGAGAGUUUGCAACACCCAAAGUCGGUGGGGUAACCCUUCGGGGAGCUAGCCG
rnacentral:rRNA from 2 species